rnacentral:rRNA from 1 species
UGAAUACGAGAUGCUACGGCGUCGAAGCAGUCUAUGUCAUACUUCCAAGAAAAGCUUGCACUGUCAUAAACAAAUAAUGCCUGUACCAUAACCGACACAGGUGGGUAGGUAGAGUAUACUAAGGGGCGCGAGAUAACUCUCUCUAAGGAACUCGGCAAAAUGACUCCGUAACUUCGGGAGAAGGUGUGCCUUAUUUAUAAGGUUGCAAUAACAAGAUCCAAGCAACUGUUUACCAAAAACACAGGUCUCCGCUAAGUCGUAAGACGAUGUAUGGGGGCUGACGCCUGCCCAGUGCCAGAAGGUUAAAGAAGUUGGUUAGCAUCCGCGAAGCUGAUAACUGAAGCCCUGGUGAACGGCGGCCGUAACGAUAACGGUCCUAAGGUAGCGAAAUUCCUUGUCGGGUAAGUUCCGACCCGCACGAAAGGCGUAAUGAUUUGGAUACUGUCUCGGAGAGGGGCUCGGUGAAAUAGACUUGUCUGUGAAGAUGCGGACUACCUGCACCAGGACAGAAAGACCCUAUGAAGCUUUACUGUAACCUGAAAUUGAAAUUGGACUUUACUUGCGCAGUAUAGGUGGGAGGCGUUGAGAAUAUUCUUGCGGGAUUAUUGGAGCCAUCAGUGAGAUACCACUCUUGUAAUGUUAGAUUUCUAACUUUGUAUCAUUAUCUGGUCAAAGAACAGUUUCAGGCGGGCAGUUUGACUGGGGCGGUCGCCUCCUAAACGGUAACGGAGGCGCACAAAGGUUUCCUCUGAACGGGUAGAAAUCGUAUCUAGAGUGUAAAGGCAUAAGGAAGCUUGACUGUGAGACCUACAAGUCGAGCAGGGACGAAAGUCGGUCUUAGUGAUCUGACGGUGCUGAGUGGAAAGGCCGUCACUCAACGGAUAAAAGUUACUCUAAGGAUAACAGGCUGAUCUCCCCCAAGAGUUCACAUCGACGGGGAGGCUUGGCACCUCGAUGUCGGCUCGUCGCAUCCUGGGGCGGUAGUACGUCCCAAGGGUUGGGCUGUUCGCCCAUGAAAGCGGUACGCGAGCUGGGUUCAGAACGUCGUGAGACAGUUCGGUCCAUAUCCGGUGUAGGCGUUAGAAUAUUGAGAGGAGCCUUCUUUAGUACGAGAGGACCGAGAAGGACAUACCUCUGGUGUACCAGUUAUCGUGCCAACGGUAAACGCUGGGUAGCUAUGUGUGGAGUGGAUAACCGCUGAAAGCAUCUAAGUGGGAAGCCCACCUCAAGAUAAGUAUUCUCGU